rnacentral:rRNA from 1 species
GAUGAACGCUGGCGGCGUGCCUAACACAUGCAAGUCGAACGGAGCUGCCUUGAUGAAGGUUUCGGAUGGAUUUAAAACAGCUUAGUGGCGGACGGGUGAGUAACGCGUGGGUAACCUGCCUCCCACUGGGGGAAAACAGUUAGAAAUAGCUGCUAACACCGCAUAAGCGCACGGGUCCGCAUGGAACAGCGUGAAAAACUCCGGUGGUGUGAGAUGGACCCGCGUCUGAUUAGCCAGUUGGCGGGGUAACGGCCCACCAAAGCGACGAUCAGUAGCCGGCCUGAGAGGGUGAACGGCCACAUUGGGACUGAGACACGGCCCAAACUCCUACGGGAGGCAGCAGUGGGGAAUAUUGCACAAUGGGGGAAACCCUGAUGCAGCGACGCCGCGUGAGUGAAGGAGUAUUUCGGUAUGUAAAGCUCUAUCAGCAGGGAAGAAAGUGACGGUACCUGAAUAAGAAGCCCCGGCUAACUACGUGCCAGCAGCCGCGGUAA